GGCACAGUGGCUUAGUGUUUAGCACUGUUUCCUCGCACCUACAGGGUUGGGGGUUCAAAUCUCGCCUCUGCCC